UACGGGGGGAGCAAGCGUUGUUCGGAUUUACUGGGCGUAAAGGGCGCGUAGGCGGUCAGCACAAGUCAGUUGUGAAAUCUCCGGGCUUAACUCGGAAAGGUCAACUGAUACUGUGCGACUAGAGUGCAGAAGGGGCAACUGGAAUUCUCGGUGUAGCGGUGAAAUGCGUAGAUAUCGAGAGGAACACCAGUGGCGAAGGCGAGUCUCUGGACGACUCCUGACACUGAGGCACGAAAGCUGGGGGAGCAAACAGG
rnacentral:rRNA from 1 species